rnacentral:rRNA from 1 species
GACGAACGCUGGCGGCGUGCUUAACACAUGCAAGUCGAACGGAAAGGCCCUGCUUUUGUGGGGUGCUCGAGUGGCGAACGGGUGAGUAACACGUGAGUAACCUGCCCUUGACUUUGGGAUAACUUCAGGAAACUGGGGCUAAUACCAGAUAGGAGCUCCUGCUGCAUGGUGGGGGUUGGAAAGUUUCGGCGGUUGGGGAUGUACUCGCGGCUUAUCAGCUUGUUGGUGGGGUAGUGGCUUACCAAGGCUUUGAAGGGUAGCCGGCCUGAGAGGGUGACCGGCCACAUUGGGACUGAGAUACGGCCCAGACUCCUACGGGAGGCAGCAGUGGGGAAUAUUGCACAAUGGGCGGAAGCGUGAUGAAGCAACGCCGCGUGCGGGAUGACGGCCUUCGGGUUGUAAACCGCUUUCGCCUGUGACGAAGCGUGAGUGACGGUAAUGGGUAAAGAAGCACCGGCUAACUACGUG